GGACACCAGAUCCUGUACAAUCACUAGAGUUAAGCAAUGUUGAGCCUGAUUUAGUACCUAGAUGGGUGACCACUUGGGAAUAUCAGGUGCCA